UGAUCUAUUUUGAAGAGCUGCUUUAUGAAGAAUGGAUGUGCAAUUCUAGUGUAUUUCAAUAGUAUGAAAUAUUAAUCCCCCAGAUAAUCGUAGAUCAAUUUUUUACCCCAAUGUACUCUGUGUCUAUGAUUAUCCGACCCCUUUGAAUAUAAUUUCUAUAUUUCUCUAGCGUCGUCAGCAUUCAUGCGGAAAGCUGUGUGAUGCUCAACCAAAACUGUAGACUCACAACAAAUUUGCUAGCAAAAAUUUAAUUAAUAAUAUUUCGUAAAUCCUGCAAUCAAUCAGCAUGUCUCCUCCACCUAAACCUAAACGUCCCGCUCCGUCAUAUGUAAUGUGGAUGAACGUACAAGGACGUCAUCGAAUAAAGAUGGAGCAUCCCAAUUACAACGUCCCCCAAGUGGGAAAAUGUGCGGGCGAGAUCUGGAGGAAGAUGGACGAGAUGGAGAAAGACAAUUGGAAAUUGCAAGCUUCUAUUGCUAUGAACAUGUAUAAGAAGAAUUUGGCCAUCUGGAAAUGCCUAAGAAUCAAGCAGCGUCGUUAAGCAGAAAAUUAGCCAAAGUCCACUAUUAAAAUUCCUAGUUUCGAUUAAAACCAAAAGUAAAUUCCUUGAAGGAUUUAAAUGUUACAUAUUUUGGAUAUUACUAAACAAACCAAGCACAAAUUCAGAACAUAGUAUAUCCUCAGUACAACACACAGCAUAGAAACAAAGUUCAAAAGUCGCUAGCUCUAAGGCCAGGGGAAGAAAUUGAGGAGAUAAAGCACGUAUUACACUUGGAUUACAUUUAUCGGGAACGAGAUGAUCAUGUUCAGGAGCUGGAGCGAUUCAGAAUGUUGUUUGGCUAUAAUUGGCCCUUGGAUGGUAUUGGAUGGUAUACCACCAUUCAGGCUAGAUUCAAAUUAAUAUUCAAAAGUAACGGAUGUGGUAAUAAGGCGACACCUGUCGACUUUGUUUGAUAAGGCCCUGCCAUGUUUUAAUUUACAUUUGUCUCCACCAUCCGGGUAUGGGGCAGAGGUAAUAUUCCACGGAACAUCAAAAACGAGGAAUAUGUAAAAUAGAACUUGAAUUCGUCAGUAUAUUUA
rnacentral:sRNA from 1 species